UGGCAGUCAGAGGCGAUGAAGGACGUGCUAAUCUGCGAUAAGCGUCGGUGAGGUGAUAUGAACCGUUAUAACCGGCGAUUUCCGAAUGGGGAAACCCAGUGUGUUUCGACACACUAUCAUUAACUGAAUCCAUAGGUUAAUGAGGCGAACCGGGGGAACUGAAACAUCUAAGUACCCCGAGGAAAAGAAAUCAACCGAGAUUCCCCCAGUAGCGGCGAGCGAACGGGGAGGAGCCCAGAGCCUGAAUCAGUGUGUGUGUUAGUGGAAGCGUCUGGAAAGGCGCGCGAUACAGGGUGACAGCCCCGUACACAAAAAUGCACAUAUUGUGAGCUCGAUGAGUAGGGCGGGACACGUGGUAUCCUGUCUGAAUAUGGGGGGACCAUCCUCCAAGGCUAAAUACUCCUGACUGACCGAUAGUGAACCAGUACCGUGAGGGAAAGGCGAAAAGAACCCCGGCGAGGGGAGUGAAAAAGAACCUGAAACCGUGUACGUACAAGCAGUGGGAGCCUCUUUAUGGGGUGACUGCGUACCUUUUGUAUAAUGGGUCAGCGACUUAUAUUCUGUAGCAAGGUUAACCGAAUAGGGGAGCCGAAGGGAAACCGAGUCUUAACUGGGCGUUAAGUUGCAGGGUAUAGACCCGAAACCCGGUGAUCUAGCCAUGGGCAGGUUGAAGGUUGGGUAACACUAACUGGAGGACCGAACCGACUAAUGUUGAAAAAUUAGCGGAUGACUUGUGGCUGGGGGUGAAAGGCCAAUCAAACCGGGAGAUAGCUGGUUCUCCCCGAAAGCUAUUUAGGUAGCGCCUCGUGAAUUCAUCUCCGGGGGUAGAGCACUGUUUCGGCAAGGGGGUCAUCCCGACUUACCAACCCGAUGCAAACUGCGAAUACCGGAGAAUGUUAUCACGGGAGACACACGGCGGGUGCUAACGUCCGUCGUGAAGAGGGAAACAACCCAGACCGCCAGCUAAGGUCCCAAAGUCAUGGUUAAGUGGGAAACGAUGUGGGAAGGCCCAGACAGCCAGGAUGUUGGCUUAGAAGCAGCCAUCAUUUAAAGAAAGCGUAAUAGCUCACUGGUCGAGUCGGCCUGCGCGGAAGAUGUAACGGGGCUAAACCAUGCACCGAAGCUGCGGCAGCGACACUAUGUGUUGUUGGGUAGGGGAGCGUUCUGUAAGCCUGUGAAGGUGGCCUGUGAGGGUUGCUGGAGGUAUCAGAAGUGCGAAUGCUGACAUAAGUAACGAUAAAGCGGGUGAAAAGCCCGCUCGCCGGAAGACCAAGGGUUCCUGUCCAACGUUAAUCGGGGCAGGGUGAGUCGACCCCUAAGGCGAGGCCGAAAGGCGUAGUCGAUGGGAAACAGGUUAAUAUUCCUGUACUUGGUGUUACUGCGAAGGGGGGACGGAGAAGGCUAUGUUGGCCGGGCGACGGUUGUCCCGGUUUAAGCGUGUAGGCUGGUUUUCCAGGCAAAUCCGGAAAACCAAGGCUGAGGCGUGAUGACGAGGCACUACGGUGCUGAAGCGACAAAUGCCCUGCUUCCAGGAAAAGCCUCUAAGCAUCAGGUAACAUCAAAUCGUACCCCAAACCGACACAGGUGGUCAGGUAGAGAAUACCAAGGCGCUUGAGAGAACUCGGGUGAAGGAACUAGGCAAAAUGGUGCCGUAACUUCGGGAGAAGGCACGCUGAUAUGUAGGUGAAGCGACUUGCUCGUGGAGCUGAAAUCAGUCGAAGAUACCAGCUGGCUGCAACUGUUUAUUAAAAACACAGCACUGUGCAAACACGAAAGUGGACGUAUACGGUGUGACGCCUGCCCGGUGCCGGAAGGUUAAUUGAUGGGGUUAGCGGUAACGCGAAGCUCUUGAUCGAAGCCCCGGUAAACGGCGGCCGUAACUAUAACGGUCCUAAGGUAGCGAAAUUCCUUGUCGGGUAAGUUCCGACCUGCACGAAUGGCGUAAUGAUGGCCAGGCUGUCUCCACCCGAGACUCAGUGAAAUUGAACUCGCUGUGAAGAUGCAGUGUACCCGCGGCAAGACGGAAAGACCCCGUGAACCUUUACUAUAGCUUGACACUGAACAUUGAGCCUUGAUGUGUAGGAUAGGUGGGAGGCUUUGAAGUGUGGACGCCAGUCUGCAUGGAGCCGACCUUGAAAUACCACCCUUUAAUGUUUGAUGUUCUAACGUUGGCCCGUAAUCCGGGUUGCGGACAGUGUCUGGUGGGUAGUUUGACUGGGGCGGUCUCCUCCUAAAGAGUAACGGAGGAGCACGAAGGUUGGCUAAUCCUGGUCGGACAUCAGGAGGUUAGUGCAAUGGCAUAAGCCAGCUUGACUGCGAGCGUGACGGCGCGAGCAGGUGCGAAAGCAGGUCAUAGUGAUCCGGUGGUUCUGAAUGGAAGGGCCAUCGCUCAACGGAUAAAAGGUACUCCGGGGAUAACAGGCUGAUACCGCCCAAGAGUUCAUAUCGACGGCGGUGUUUGGCACCUCGAUGUCGGCUCAUCACAUCCUGGGGCUGAAGUAGGUCCCAAGGGUAUGGCUGUUCGCCAUUUAAAGUGGUACGCGAGCUGGGUUUAGAACGUCGUGAGACAGUUCGGUCCCUAUCUGCCGUGGGCGCUGGAGAACUGAGGGGGGCUGCUCCUAGUACGAGAGGACCGGAGUGGACGCAUCACUGGUGUUCGGGUUGUCAUGCCAAUGGCACUGCCCGGUAGCUAAAUGCGGAAGAGAUAAGUGCUGAAAGCAUCUAAGCACGAAACUUGCCCCGAGAUGAGUUCUCCCUGAGACUUAGAGUCUCCUGAAGGAACGUUGAAGACGACGACGUUGAUAGGCCGGGUGUGUAAGCGCAGCGAUGCGUUGAGCUAACCGGUACUAAUGAACCGUGAGGCUUAACCUUACAACGCCGAAG
rnacentral:rRNA from 1 species